GUGGAGGCUCAUGAUGAGAAAUGGACUCUGCCCCGGGGCUGCCAGGGUGGUGUGGAGGUGGCUUGGCUGAGGCUCGAGUCCACGGGAAGGGUGACAGUCUGAUUGAUUUCCGUUUCGUUCCAUGUUUUGAUUCAGAAAUGCUUUACUGAGACCGUUAAGGAGCAGUGACUGAGGGACCUUGCUUCCACAAUGGAAUUUUCCUUCUCUUCCUGUUUGGUAUUUUCCAGUAAUAUUUCUAUUAAUGUUUCACUUUCAGAGGUACUAACUUCCUGACAGUUGGAGCUUUCUCAACUGCUGAGCCAGGAAGAACUGAAUUUUCCUCUAAAUCAUUUAGUUCCUUUCUGUUUUCUCCACGGGGAGCUCUCUCUGGUUUUCCCAUUAUGCUGUGGAGGAAGGAUUUUGGAGGGUUUAAGGCAUGGAUCCGGCCCCACAGGCUUGCACGUUUCAUUCCCUGGCAUGAUCACCCACCUUUUCACCAGAAUUGGUUUGGAAGAUACUUGGUCAGCUUCCAGAAAUGAAGCCUACUCCUGGAGGAUGUAAGAUUUCCCUAUCCCAAGAUGCUCAAAGAAAUGUGUGGCCUCUUCUGGGGGUCCUACUCAGAGAAGAGCCCAUGGGGGCUCCCAGGGUGAC
rnacentral:lncRNA from 1 species